AAUCAGUAAUAAAACAAAGACAGAUAUUUAAUUACAACAUGUUGGGCAGUGAAAGAGAUGCAUCCAGAGAACCCCCAAAGCAUAUGACUUCUCUUUUCUUUGGGAAAAACAAUUUUAUCAUUCAUUUUUCUCCAGAUACCAAUUAAAGUUUUUCAAGAUUUCCCUAAUUCUCCAGUUAAAAUCAGUCUCUUUUUUUGUCCUCUUUUUAGCCAUCACAGGAAAGUCUAGGAAACACAAUAACUGAAAAGUCCUUACAGGCUCUUCGUAGAAUUGUCUUUUAGACAGCUCUUACAAGAAAGAACUUUUUCUCAUUUUUUAAAAAAUUAAAAUUUUUUCAACAAACACAAAUUUAUUUUCUCUCUUCUAUCUGCCCCCUUACUGAAAGAAUAAAACCAAGGCAAUAACCCACAAGAAAAGUCUUGUUAACAAAUAUGCAAACUCAAGCAAAACCAAUUCUUACAUUGGUUACGUCCAAAAAAUUUAUGUCUCCGUCUGUAUCCUGAAUGUAUCACUGCUGUCGGGAGGUAAGUUCCAUAUUUUAUCAUCUGCUCACAUUCUUUCUCUCUGCUAAAUCAAAGAUUAGGAACACUCCCUCCCAGACUCCAUAGGGAAAAGUACCUCAUUGCCAGAUAGAACAGUCAUUCCAAACUGCUAGUCCCAAAUGUCUUUUCUGCAAUAUCACAUUUGGCUCUUAAAAGGUACCAUAGCAGUCUCUGUGGGAGUUUAGCAAAACACGUGCUAACAAUACUUUAAAAUGAAUUUCUAUGUACAAUAUGCCCAGUUUAGUUAAUCCCUUUCUUUAUUCAUGCAUCACUGUAUUUAUAUAAAUAUACAGUGUGAAUGCUGUUUCUGAUUCUGCCUUUUCAUUUCAUAUGACUUUGUGUAGGUCUUUCCAGAUUUCUUUCUAUUCCUCAUGUUUAUCAGUUAUAAUGGAACUCUGGCAGAUAGAGCUGAAAAUCAGGAAGGCCUGGCUAGGAAUCGCCUAAUCUUUCUGUACACUCCAGACCAAAGGUGGCAAAAACAAGACCCAUGGACCAUGUGACUUACAGCCCUCCUGAACUAGAUUACAAUGUAAUUGGGAACUAUCUUACAAAAUAAGUGAAAAUACAAUAAAACACAGCUAACAACAUUUUAAAACUAAGUCAAUAUAGGCCCUCGGGGAUCCUUACUGUAGGUUAGUGGCCCAAUUCCCUUAAUUUGCUGGAAAGUGAGACUGGGCAAGUUCAAGGGUCUGUGGUGAUGGUAGGACUUUUAACUCUCCAAGGGCUUUGCUAUGGGAUAAUGAAUAGAAAUGGGGGAGGGUAGCACUAUUUUUUUUGGGGGGGGGGGGUCAGGGCUCCUGUUGCUGCUCCUGCAACCUGAAUUCUCCCUAUGCUGAGAGCUGGGACUGGUUUUAUCAUAACUGAAAUCUUAUACAACAAGGACUAGCAAUCUCAACUAAAUAUUUAUUUAUAUUAAUGACUUUAUUUGAAAUCUGUUCAUCACGUACUGUACUUUGGCAGAACUUCCUGUAUGCAGUAGAAUAUGGGAAGUAGUACGGCAUAGGGUCUCUGUCUUUCUUCCCCACUUUGGGAAUAGGGGAAUGCUUUCUCUUACAUAAAAUCAUAAUAAAGAGCUGAAAGAUACUUGAGCCCCUUCAUUCCUACACCCUCAUUUUAAAGAUGGGAAAACCAAAGCCCCAUUGCUUUAUCCUUUCAGUGUGACAUUCUUUCUCAAAAGGACAUAGGAUUUAGAGUCUGAAGCUACUUCUGC
ensembl:lncRNA